UGACAGCGCCACCAUGUACUGAGGGUGACUGCUGUCCCGCACCAGGAACGUACCUUCAGACUUUGCCAAGAGUUUUUCCCGAGCUUGACUUGCCGAGAUGGAACCCCAAUACCAGCCUGCAAUGAUAAUUUUGUAUUUAAAGGACGUACUGGUGACUGGUCGGGUGACCAAGCGAUGAAGAUCCACUCGUAUCCCAGCGUAUUCUGCGAAUCCAGUCGGUAGAGGAUGUAGCAUGGCUGCUGUGGCGUGAGCAGAGGUAACAGGAAGUGGUCAUAGUCCUUGUCCCAGCUUUCUACUGGCUGUCCGCAUGACUCCAGCAUCAACUCCUCUGCAGACAAAAUCAGAUGUCAGUUUCAUGGAAGGAGCAGCUCCAGAUCUGCUUCGGUCCUCGUUCGUCUGGUUCUGCAGGAAGUCGACCUGUCCGGUUGCCGCUGAUGGCAGACAGAUGGACCCACGCACACAGAGUGACACCAGCUCUCCAGGCGGACGCUGGAGAUUCUUCACACCUGAAAUGCAAUCUGCGGAACUGGGAGGCGGAUGAAUAAUAUUGUGCCUGUCAGUGGAUAUGGCAGCUUGACCACUGAUCUAAAACCCCCUGUGGAUCACUGACCACAACCUCAAGUCUGCUGGCUUGGUGGGCCGUGGGUGUUGUUUUUGUGUAGCUGACCUGUGAAGCAGAAUUCCGAGUUACUUAGUAGUUAUUAUCUAGCCCAUUAAUGAUGUCUAUAUGUCUAUAAGGAUGCCACAAUUUACAAAAGAGCUGAGUACAUCUAUUUCUAGUUGUUUGAGUUCCAUUUUCUUUUUGCCAUCAGUAACAACCUUCUGUGGUGUUAAAAGGGACAAGAAUUUCUCAUUAAUCCCAAAUUCAUUGAAACACACGAUAUUGAAAGGCAUCUUUUUUUUAAUUAUUUAAUAAAAAAUGGUUGAGUUUUUUUCAAGAAA